GCACUGUUGAGGAGUCCCACAAUAGGACGAAACGUCGUUCAGUGC
rnacentral:hammerhead_ribozyme from 1 species